rnacentral:rRNA from 1 species
CCUACGGGGGACAGCAGUGAGGAAUAUUGGUCAAUGGACGAGAGUCUGAACCAGCCAAGUAGCGUGAAGGAUGACUGCCCUAUGGGUUGUAAACUUCUUUUAUAUGGGAAUAAAAUGUUCCACGUGUGGGAUUUUGUAUGUACCAUAUGAAUAAGGAUCGGCUAACUCCGUGCCAGCAGCCGCGGUAAUACGGAGGAUCCGAGCGUUAUCCGGAUUUAUUGGGUUUAAAGGGAGCGUAGGUGGAUUGAUAAGUCAGUUGUGAAAUUUUGCGGCUCAACCGUAAAAUUGCAGUUGAAACUGGCAGUCUUGAGUACAGUAGAGGUGGGCGGAAUGCGUGGUGUAGCGGUGAAAUGCUUAGAGAUCACGAAGAACUCCGAUUGCGAAGGCAGCUCACUGGACUGCAACUGACACUGAGGCUCGAAAGUGUGGGUAUCAAACAGGAUUAGAUACCCGAGUAGUC